GUCCACGCCCUAAACGAUGAGCACUGGGUGUUGGGGAAGCGAUUCCCUAGUACCGCAGCUAACGCGUGAAGUGCUCCGCCUGGGGAGUACGGCCGCAAGGUUAAAACUCAAAGGAAUUGACGGGGACCCGCACAAGCGGUGGAUGAUGUGGAUUAAUUCGAUGCAACGCGAACAACCUUACCUACCCUUGACAUGUCGCGAAGCCCGCUGAGAGGCGGGGGUGCCCGAAAGGGAACGCGAACACAGGUGCUGCAUGGCUGUCGU
rnacentral:rRNA from 1 species